GACGGACGCUGGCGGCGUGCUUAACACAUGCAAGUCGAACGGAAAGGCCCCAGCUUGCUGGGGUACUCGAGUGGCGAACGGGUGAGUAACACGUGGGUGAUCUGCCCUGCACUCUGGGAUAAGCCUGGGAAACUGGGUCUAAUACCGGAUAGGACCGUGCUUUAGUGUGUGCGGUGGAAAGUUUUUCGGUGCAGGAUGAGCCCGCGGCCUAUCAGCUUGUUGGUGGGGUAAUGGCCUACCAAGGCGGCGACGGGUAGCCGGCCUGAGAGGGUGUACGGCCACAUUGGGACUGAGACACGGCCCAGACUCCUACGGGAGGCAGCAGCGGGGAAUAUUGCACAAUGGGCGCAAGCCUGAUGCAGCGACGCCGCGUGGGGGAUGACGGCCUUCGGGUUGUAAACCCCUUUCGGCAGGGACGAAGCUUUUGUGACGGUACCUGCAUAAGAAGCACCGGCUAACUACGUG
rnacentral:rRNA from 1 species